CGUGUUGCGUGCAUAUGAUGUCAUUAUUAGAGUGACAGUUCAGAAGUGAUGCAAGUAAGCCAUAUGUGAUUUAAUGCUCAGUGAGUAUUACUUGCAAUGCACAUGUAUAUAAGACCAGGCACAAGCGUAAUUGGACACACAACUCCAUUCACCUCGAAGAUUUGAAUCAUCCUCUACACACAGUCGUUUCCAGUACAACCAUGCAACUGAAGAUUGUUUGUCUACUUCUGGUCGCCACUGUGGCCAUGGCAACCGCCUACAGGGGUCAGUACAACUCUUUAAGGAACCACGGGCGUUACGGUCGCUACGACUACGACAUUGAGGCUCCCGACUUCCCCGACUUUGACAGCUACAUUUACAGAUAUCUGUUGACGCGAGGUCGCAAACAAGGCAGACAGAGCAAACAGAACACGAACCGCUACAACAUUUUGAGGAAUCUUGCCAGACUUGAGGCUUAUGACCUUAUUUGAGCUAGAAUACACGGGUGUGGUAUGUCAUGCAUAUGGCAUACACAGGGACAGUUGUAUUAUAUUUAACUACAUAUUUAUUUAUUAAGAAAAUAAAC